CUGAGUAAAAAAUGAGUUGACUUAAAGGAAAAUAUUAAGUAAUGGCACAAGUAGUAUAUGAAUAUGACAAAAAUUCUAAUGGCGACACAUGGUAGGAUGCAGAUAUGGCAGAAAUCAAAAAGGGAGCAGUGGCUGAGAAGUGAGCAUACAGAAAUGUCACAGUGUCCCCUGUCGGGGGAGGAACUCAAGGGAAACUCACAAGAAAGCCCUGGAAAACCUGAGGAGGAAGCGAAAGGCCUAAGUCUUCCUCCUGACUCUGCUACCACACAGCUAUUCGAGCUUAGG
rnacentral:lncRNA from 1 species